CUCGCCUACGGGGGGCAGCAGUGGGGGAUAUUGCACAAUGGGGGAAACCCUGAUGCAGCGACGCCGCGUGGGUGAAGAAGCGCCUCGGCGCGUAAAGCCCUGUCAGCAGGGAAGAAAAUGACGGUACCUGAAGAAGAAGCCCCGGCUAACUACGUGCCAGCAGCCGCGGUAAUACGUAGGGGGCAAGCGUUAUCCGGAUUUACUGGGUGUAAAGGGGGCGCAGACGGCGAUGCAAGCCAGGAGUGAAAGCCCGGGGCCCAACCCCGGGACGUCUCUUGGACAUGCGUGGCUGGAG
rnacentral:rRNA from 1 species